GUGCUUGCUUCUGCAGCACAUACUCUUAAAUUGGAAUGAUGAGGAGAUUAGCCCCUGUGCAAGAAUGACAUGCAAAUUCGGGAAGCCAUCUGUAUUUUU
rnacentral:snRNA from 1 species